AGUGAACGCUGGCGGUAGGCCUAACACAUGCAAGUCGAACGGCAGCACAGAGGAGCUUGCUCCUUGGGUGGCGAGUGGCGGACGGGUGAGGAAUACAUCGGAAUCUACUCUGUCGUGGGGGAUAACGUAGGGAAACUUACGCUAAUACCGCAUACGACCUACGGGUGAAAGCAGGGGAUCCUCGGACCUUGCGCGAUUGAAUGAGCCGAUGUCGGAUUAGCUAGUUGGCGGGGUAAAGGCCCACCAAGGCGACGCUCCGUAGCUGGUCUGAGAGGAUGAUAAGACACAUGUGAACUGAGACACAGUCCAGACUCCUACGGGAGGCAGCAGUGGGGAAUAUUGGCAAAUGGGCGCAAGCCUGAUCCAGCCAUACCUCGUUGGUUAAGAAGGCCUUCGGGUUGUAAAGCCCUUUUGUUGGGAAAAAAAUCCAUCUGGUUAAUACCCGGGUGGGAUGACGGUACCCAAAGAAUAAGCACCGGCUAACUCCGUGCCAGCCGCCGCCGUAA
rnacentral:rRNA from 1 species